rnacentral:rRNA from 1 species
AUUGAACGCUGGCGGCAGGCCUAACACAUGCAAGUCGAGCGGUAGCACAAGGAGCUUGCUCCUGGGUGACGAGCGGCGGACGGGUGAGUAAUGUCUGGGAAACUGCCCGAUGGAGGGGGAUAACUACUGGAAACGGUAGCUAAUACCGCAUAAUGUCUUCGGACCAAAGUGGGGGACCUUCGGGCCUCACACCAUCGGAUGUGCCCAGAUGGGAUUAGCUAGUAGGUGAGGUAAUGGCUCACCUAGGCGACGAUCCCUAGCUGGUCUGAGAGGAUGACCAGCCACACUGGAACUGAGACACGGUCCAGACUCCUACGGGAGGCAGCAGUGGGGAAUAUUGCACAAUGGGCGCAAGCCUGAUGCAGCCAUGCCGCGUGUGUGAAGAAGGCCUUCGGGUUGUAAAGCACUUUCAGCGAGGAGGAAGGGUUCGGUGUUAAUAGCACCGUUCAUUGACGUUACUCGCAGAAGAAGCACCGGCUAACUCCGUGCCAGCAGCCGCCGUAACAC